GCCGAAACGAAGAAGGAACGCCGGAGCACCGACGGCGACAACAGGUCCUCGCGACGGUCGAUGUCGGAGGAGCGGAGCGGCGGCGAGAGGGCCGAUCGCGAGCGCUCCUCCUCACGGCGAGAUAAGGACCAGCGUCACCGCAGCAGCAGGGACGACGACAGGGACCGGGAUCGGGUCCGCCCGAGCCGCGAGAGGGACGACGACCGGGUUCGGGAUCGGGUCCGCCGGAGUCGCGAGAGUGACCUGGAUCGGGAUCGCCGGAGCCGCGAGAGGAACUACGAUGAUCGUCACCAUCGCCGGAGCAGGGACCGGGAUCACCGAAGCCGGGACUAUGAAGAG
rnacentral:misc_RNA from 1 species